UUUUUAAUGAAAAAGUCUUAGCGGUGGAUCACUCGGCUCAUAUGUCGAUGAAGGACGCAGCUAAAUGCGAGAAUUAGUGUGAAUUGCAGGACACUUAGAACAUCGAAACUCUGAACGCAAAUUGCAGGUCCAAGUCUGACUUGGGCCAACGUCUAUCUGAGGGUCACUAUUACAUCUACCACAGUGUGUGUGCGAAUAUACACUGUGAAUAUACGGGUGUGCGCUGCGAGAGUUAAAAUGCUUGCGCCGCUCGCCUUAGAUUGAACCGAAGUUUACAGCUCGGCGCGCUAGUGUGUGCAUGAGUUGACCAAUUUUCUAUACAGAAUCAAGUGUCAACGAUUGUACACGCGCUAAUGGUGCAUACGUAGCGAUCAACUUUUUGACCUCAGAUUAGUCGAGAGCACUCGCUGAAUUUAAGCAUAUUAUUAAGCGAAGGAAAAGAAACUAACAAGUAUUCCCCCAGUAAUGGCGAAUGAACAGGGAAAAGCUCAAAGCCGAAUCGUUUUGUUUUUGGAGCAGAGCGCUAUGUGGCAUAUAGCUCGAGCAGUGGGUGAGUCGUGCGAGUUUAAGUACAUUUGAAUGUGUCUCUACCAUAGCAGGUGUGAGUCCCAUCUGACGAGCGCGGCGAGCCAAAGCGAGAGCUUAGAGUCGAGUUGUUUGUUAAUGCAGCUCUAAGCGGGUGGUAAACCCCAUCUAAAGCUAAAUACUGAUAUGAGACCGAUAGCAAACAAGUACCGUGAGGGAAAGUUGAAAAGAACUUUGAAGAGAGAGUGAAUAAGUACGUGAAACCGUUGAGGUGCAAACGCAAGAGUUUCUGAAAGCGCGACGAGAUUCAGCUGGCGCAGUAAUGGGUCAGUGUACUUUUCGUCGUGCAGCGGUGAGAUGGGUUGUUGGUGCGUGAUAAGCCGGUUGGAAAGGUAGCUCUCCUUCGGGGGAGUGUUAUAGUCCAGCCGAGUGAUGGCCGCAUCGGCGACUCAGGAGGGCUUGGCUGCGUUUCGGCGCGACUCGGCGUGUCCACGACGUGCGUUUAACUGCUGUAGACUCUGCUGAGUGUGCGGCGACUUGCGUGCGGCGAAAGGGUGCGUGCGGAGAUCUAUGCCAAAGUGAUCGUCACUGUGAAUCACUUUUGUGACCCGUCUUGAAACACGGACCAAGGAGUCUAACACUCGCGCGAGUCAUUGGGUUUACGAAACCUAGAAGGCAGAGUGAAGGUGAAUGUAGGUUAGAUCAGUGUGUGUUCGCACGCGCUGCGCAUAACCGCCCGAUGCGAGAGCUUUUAAGUUCUGUGUCGCGGAAGAGCGUGCGUGUUGGGACCCGAAAGAUGGUGAACUAUGCUUGAAUAAGUUGAAGCUAGGGGAAACCCUGGUGGAGGGCUGUAGCGAUUCUGACGUGCAAAUCGAUCGUCAAAUUUGAGUAUAGGGGCGAAAGACUAAUCGAACCAUCUAGUAGCUGGUUCCCUCCGAAGUUUCCCUCAGGAUAGCUGGCACUCAUGAAGCAGUUUUAUCUGGUAAAGCGAAUGAUUAGAGGAAUCGGGGACGAAAUGACCUCGACCUAUUCUCAAACUUUAAAUUGGUAAGAAGCGAGACUCGCUUAGUUGGAGUCUUCGCAUUGAAUGCGAGUAGCCAAGUGGGCCACUCUUGGUAAGCAGGACUGGCGAUGCGGGAUGAACCGAACGUUGAGUUAAAGUGCCCGAUGUGACGCUCAUCAGAGCCCACAAAAGGUGUUGGUUGAUAUAGACAGCAGGACGGUGGCCAUGGAAGUCGGAAUCCGCUAACGUAAGGUUAAUAGCGACGGAGACGCCAUAACAGGCCUUAAGGCUAAAAGGGGAAAGUUUGUCUGAAGGACAGCUCUCGAGUUGCGCGGCCCAAAAGCCGGGACAAGACCGCUCAGUCCGCGAACUCGAGGUAAGGAAAACGCACGUUAAAUAGAGAAAUAACUCAACGGAAAUACCGAACGUUCAAGAGUAGAAAACAAGGAAGAGAAUUAACGUACGUUUAGGUUUGUUCUACAUCAGACGAAUUUGCAGCGACCGACUUCUGCAAGAAUCGAUCACUGCUCAUUUCUGUGUUUAUUGAAUAAA
rnacentral:ncRNA from 1 species